rnacentral:rRNA from 1 species
GAAUUUUGGACAUUGGGCGAAAGCCUGAUCCAGCAAUGCCGCGUGCAGGAUGAAGGCCCUCUGUUUGUAAACUGCUUUUGUACGGAACGUAAAGCUUUGGGUUAAUACCCUGGCGUCAUGACUGUACCGUAAGAAUAAGCACCGGCUAACUACGUGCCAUCAUCCGCGGUCCAACGUAGGGUGCAAGCGUUAAUCGGAAUUACUGGGCGUAAAGCGUGCGCAGGCGGUUUUGUAAGACAGAGGUGAAAUCCCCGGGCUCAACCUGGGAACUGCCUUUGUGACUGCAAGGCUAGAGUACGGCAGAGGGGGGUGGAAUUCCGCGUGUAGCAGUGAAAUGCGUAGAUAUGCGGAGGAACACCGAUGGCGAAGGCAACCCCCUGGGCCUGUACUGACGCUCAUGCACGAAAGCGUGGGGAGCAAACA